GACGUAGGAGGCGAGCGUUGUCCGGAUUCAUUGGGCGUAAAGAGCGCGCAGGCGGCUUGGUAAGUCGGAUGUGAAAUCCCGAGGCUCAACCUCGGGUCUGCAUCCGAUACUGCCCGGCUAGAGGUAGGUAGGGGAGAUCGGAAUUCCUGGUGUAGCGGUGAAAUGCGCAGAUAUCGGGAAGAACACCAAUGGCGAAAGCACUCUGCUGGGCCGAAACUGACACUGAGAGACGAAAGCUAGGGGAGCGAAUGGG
rnacentral:rRNA from 1 species